rnacentral:rRNA from 1 species
UAGUCAUAUGCUUGUCUCAAAGAUUAAGCCAUGCAUGUCUAAGUAUAAACAACUUUGUACUGUGAAACUGCGAAUGGCUCAUUAAAUCAGUUAUAGUUUAUUUGAUGGUGCUUACUACAUGGAUAACCGUGGUAAUUCUAGAGCUAAUACAUGCGUAAAAGACCCGACUCACGAAGGGUUGUAUUUAUUAGAUAAAAAACCAACCAGCGCAAGCUGUUUAAGGUGAAUCAUAAUAACUUUGCGAAUCGCAUGGCGUAUGCCGGCGAUGAAUCAUUCAA